rnacentral:ncRNA from 1 species
CCAGAAGAGGAGCGUUAGCCAGGUAAUUAUUGUGAAGAGAUCAAACUCUAAUGAGCAAUAAUGAGGGGGUAUAACGCCGAGGUAAUUAUAUUUUUGAUGAUGUAAUUAUCGGUUGUUAAGGCUUAAUUGUUUUUAUUCAUGAUUAAGUUUUUUAUUUUCCGAACAAAUUGAGUUCGUUGAAUACUAGGUUGAAUCCUUGCAACUGUCACCUAAUAGGUGGAGAGCUUCUGG